UACGUAGGGGGCAAGCGUUGUCCGGAAUCAUUGGGCGUAAAGCGCGUGUAGGCGGCCCGGUAAGUCCGCUGUGAAAGUCGGGGGCUCAACCCUCGAAUGCCGGUGGAUACUGUCGGACUAGAGUGCGGAAGAGGCGAGUGGAAUUCCUGGUGUAGCGGUGAAAUGCGCAGAUAUCAGGAGGAACACCGAUUGCGAAGGCAGCUCGCUGGGACGUAACUGACGCUGAGACGCGAAAGCGUGGGGAGCAAACAGG
rnacentral:rRNA from 1 species